rnacentral:rRNA from 1 species
CGUAGGUGGCAAGCGUUGUCCGGAUUUAUUGGGCGUAAAGCGUCCGCAGAUUGUUUGACGGGUCAGGGGUUAAAAUCCAGUGCUUAACACUGGAACUGCCUUUGAAACUAUCAAACUAGAGGGUGGAAGAGGUAAGCGGAAUUGCAGGUGUAGUCGUAAUAAGCGUUGAUAUCUGCAAGAACACCAAAGGCGAAGGCAGCUUACUAGUACACCUCUGACGUUCAUGGACGAAGGCGUGGGGAGCAAACAGGAUUAGAUACCCUGGUAGUCCACGCCCUAAACAAUGCACACUAGAUAUUGGCAGUAUCGACCCUGUCAGUGUCGCUUAAAAAAGUUAACACAUUAAGUGUGCCGCCUGGGGAGUACGGCCGCAAGGCUA